UGGGGAAUUUUGGACAAUGGGGGCAACCCUGAUCCAGCAAUGCCGCGUGUGUGAAGAAGGCCUUCGGGUUGUAAAGCACUUUUGUCCGGGAAGAAAUCCCCUGCCCUAAUACGGCGGGGGGAUGACGGUACCGGAAGAAUAAGCCCCGGCUAACUACGUGCCAGCAGCCGCGGUCAUACGUAGGGUGCGAGCGUUAAUCGGAAUUACUGGGCGUAAAGCGUGCGCAGGCGGUGAUGUAAGACCGAUGUGAAAUCCCCGGGCUCAACCUGGGAACUGCAUUGGUGACUGCAUUGCUCGAGUAUGGCAGAGGGGGGUGGAAUUCCACGUGUAGCAGUGAAAUGCGUAGAGAUGUGGAGGAACACCGAUGGCGAAGGCAGCCCCCUGGGCCAAUACUGACGCUCAUGCACGAAAGCGUGGGGAGCAAACAGG
rnacentral:rRNA from 1 species